rnacentral:sRNA from 1 species
UAAUAAACCCGAUAGAGCGGAAUAGCCCGCAUCCCGAUUCUUCAUCGGGAGAGGACUAUAAGCGAUAGCGGGGCUACAG